UGAGAAGGGACUCGGCAAAUUGAUACCGUAACUUCGGGAGAAGGUAUGCCCCUGGUACGUGAAGGCCCUCGCGGCCGGAGCGGAACGGGGUCGCAGAGAAUCGGUGGCUGCGACUGUUUAUUAAAAACACAGCACUCUGCAAACACGAAAGUGGACGUAUAGGGUGUGGCGCCUGCCCGGUGCCGGAAGGUUAAGUGAUGGGGUGCAAGCUCUUGAUCGAAGCCCCGGUAAACGGCGGCCGUAACAAUAACGGUCCUAAGGUAGCGAAAUUCCUUGUCGGGUAAGUUCCGACCUGCACGAAUGGCGUAACGAUGGCCACACUGUCUCCUCCUGAGACUCAGCGAAGUUGAAAUGUUUGUGAAGAUGCAAUCUCCCCGCGGCUAGACGGAAAGACCCCAUGAACCUUUACUGUAGCUUUGCAUUGGACUUUGACGGGACUUGUGUAGGAUAGGUGGGAGGCUAUGAAACCGGGACGCCAGUUCCGGCGGAGCCACCCUUGAAAUACCACCUUGGUGUCGUCGAGGUUCUAACCCAGGCCUGUGAAUCCAGGUCGGGGACCGUGCAUGGUGGGCAGUUUGACUGGGGCGGCCUCCUCCCAAAAGGUAACGGAGGAGUACGAAGGUCACCUAGGUACGGUCGGACAUCGUACUGAUAGUGCAAUGGCAAAAGGUGGCUUGACUGCGAGACCCACAAGUCGAGCAGGUGCGAAAGCAGGUCAUAGUGAUCCGGUGGUUCUGUAUGGAAGAGCCAUCGCUCAACGGAUAAAAGGUACUCUGGGGAUAACAGGCUGAUUCCGCCCAAGAGUUCACAUCGACGGCGGAGUUUGGCACCUCGAUGUCGGCUCAUCACAUCCUGGGGCUGUAGCCGGUCCCAAGGGUAUGGCUGUUCGCCAUUUAAAGUGGUACGUGAGCUGGGUUUAAAACGUCGUGAGACAGUUUGGUCCCUAUCUGCCGUGGGCGCUGGAAGUUUGAGAGGGCCUGCUCCUAGUACGAGAGGACCGGAGUGGACGCACCCCUGGUGUACCGGUUGUGACGCCAGUCGCAUCGCCGGGUAGCUAUGUGCGGAAGAGAUAACCGCUGAAAGCAUCUAAGCGGGAAACUCGCCUCAAGAUGAGACUUCCCCGGGGCCUCGAGCCCCCUGAAGGGUCGUUGAAGACCACAACGUUGAUGGGCCGGGUGUGUAAGCGUGGCAACACGUUCAGCUAACCGGUACUAAUUGCCCGUGUGGCUUGAUCCC
rnacentral:rRNA from 1 species